ACAAGCUGAGAAACGGCUAGUAGGACUAAGGUCUGCAGCAGGCGCGAAACUUACACAAUGCUAGAUUAAAAUUAGCGAUGUAGUGAAGAAAAAUAACGAUGUACUUCCAUUUAAACAUGGUAGUACAAUUGGAAUGAGACGACUAUAAACCAGUCAGUCGAGUAACAAAUGGAGGGCAAGUCUGGUGCCAGCAGCCGCGGUAAUUCCAGCUCCAUUAGCAUACAUUAAAGUUGUUGCGGUUAAAAAGCUCGUAGUUGAAUUUUAGGCGAGCUCUAUUGGGAUGCAACCGUUAAGGGUUCGUGCUAGUCCAUCUUCGGAUGCUACACGCUACCUGGUUGUAUUUUCCCUAUAGGAACUCGCUGUUUCGUCACUUAAUCGAGUGCGAAGCGGGCUGGAACGAUGGUUGGACCUCGGUUCACCUUGUUACAGCAAGUUUACCUUGAGAAAAUUAGAGUGCUCACAGCAGGCAGUUGGGGUGUAAAAGCCCCUUUAUGCUUGAAUAAUGUUGCAUGGAAUAAUAGAAUAUGGCCUCGGUUCUAUUCUGUUGGUCUUAUAGAACAACAAAUAAGUUGGUUAAAGCGAUCAAAAGUUCGUUUGUGAGUGUGGUCUCGAGUAACCUGCUAUACCUCUAGUAGCUCUGGUUCUGAGCUUAGUUUGGAUUCUGUUGCCUGGGGCCUUAAAAUCUCAGAGCCUGGUCCUUCUAUGAUUCUUUACUAUCCGCUAGUGUUGGCUCGUUUGCUUGUUACCAUCAAAGCACUCCUUAUUGGGCUAGCUUUUAGUCAACUGAGGCAAUGGUUAAAAGAAAUAGUCGCGGCGGCAUCAGUACUGCAUCGUGAGAG
rnacentral:rRNA from 1 species